AGAGUGAAACUCCGUCUAGAAAAAAAAAAAGAAAAAAGAAAACAAAUGAUAGUGUCAUGAACUCACCAUUUUUGCUGAUAUCAUAGAAAUAAUCAAUGCAGGCAAGAAUCAUCAGUAAGUGCCAAAACUACUUGGUGGAAGUUUGAGGAAGAACAGGAGACUUGAGCCUGAGCCCUUAACUAUGUUUCCCCAGGUUACUUACUAAUUACAGAGGGAAAAUCACUAGACAAGUGAUCCAAGUUAUCAAUGAAUGGGACAAAUCGGCAGCACGUGCGUCUUGAUAUAAGGCACCAAGAAGGACACUACAUCCUUUAUCAGUUUCUUACCCCAAAUUAUCUGACUCUAAUCAUGAAGAAAACAACAGGCAAACCAAAAAUCAUAGAAAUUCUACAAACCAGUUGGUUCAUAUUCUUCAAAAAUGUGACUGUCUCGAAAGACAAAGAACAGCUGAGGAAUUAUUCCAGGUUAAAGAGACAUGACAGCUCAGUGUGAUGCUCGAUCCUGGACUGGAUCCCAGAUGAGGAGGAAGAAAGGGGCUGUAAAAGACAAUGGAGCAACUGGCAACAUUUAAAUAUGAACUUGAUAUUAGAUAACAGUAUCACAGCAUUGAUGUUAAAAUUCAUGAAUCUGAUCAUUGCACUGUAGUUAUGUACGACCAUAUUCUUGUUCUUAGGAAAUGUAAGCUGAUGAGGUACCUUCAAAGGGUAUAGGGAAUUCUUUUAACUAUUCUUGCAACUCUUCUGUAAACUUGAAAUUACUAUUAUUUUUUAAACUUAACAGUGAGUCACAUGACUUCUUGGGAGAGGAAGAGAGUAGCACCAUGUUCUAAGUCUAUGGUGAGACACUGAGCCCUGCAACAGAAGCAAGAGUUGGAGCAGGAGUGAGCAGCUAUCUGGGGUUUCUGUGUUGCAGAGACAAGAAGAGGUGAAGCUAAGAACUCAAAACAUAUCUAGAAACUAAAGACCUAACCUCUAGUCUGCAGGGUGAAGCCAGACACCAAAAGAGAUGUAAAUAAGGAUCUUGAGAUGAGAUCAUCCUGGAUGACUCAGGUGGGCCCUAAAUCCAAAGACAAAUGCUCAUAUAAAAGAAAGACGAGGAGAAGACACACGCAGAGAAAGCCACGUGAAGAUGGAAGUGGACACUGGAGUGACGCAGCGACAAGCCGAGGAAUACCUGGAGUCACCAGAAGCUGAGACACGCAAGGAAGGAAUCUCUCCUAGAGCCUUUGCAGGGAAACCUGGCUCUGCCGACACCUUGAUAUCAGGCUGCUGACCUCCAUAAUAUGACAGCAGACAUUUCUGUUGUUUUCAGCCCCCAAGUUUGUAGGGAUUGGUUACAGCCACCCCAGGAACCUAAUACGUGAUUUGAGUCCAGCUUUUGCAGUACAAGGCACUGCAAACCCCAGCGAUCUCCACACAAAAAUGUUAUUUUAACCAUUUCAAAUUAAUUAAACUUCUUUCCACUCCAGUAUAAAAAUUGGUAGCAAAUGACCAUGGAGUGUUCAUAAUAUAAAGGUGUUACAAACCUAACUUUUUGAAAUGUAGACCAAGAAAUACCAAUAAAAGUAAGAUUUAGCACUUUC